rnacentral:rRNA from 1 species
UUCGUAGGUGGCCACUUAAGUCAGACGUGAAAUCCCUCAGCUUAACUGGGGAACUGCGUCUGAUACUGAGUGGCUUGAGUGCAGGAGAGGGAUGCGGAAUUCCAGGUGUAGCGGUGAAAUGCGUAGAUAUCUGGAGGAACACCGGUGGCGAAGGCGGCAUCCUGGACUGUAACUGACACUGAGGAACGAAAGCCAGGGAGCAAACG